rnacentral:rRNA from 1 species
AGUGAACGCUGGCGGCAGGCCUAACACAUGCAAGUCGAACGGCAGCACAGUAAGAGCUUGCUCUUACGGGUGGCGAGUGGCGGACGGGUGAGGAAUACAUCGGAAUCUACUUUUUCGUGGGGGAUAACGUAGGGAAACUUACGCUACUACCGCAUACGACCUACGGGUGAAAGCAGGGGAUCUUUGGAGCUUGCGCGAUUGCAUGAGCCGAUGUCGGAUUAGCUAGUUGGCGGGGUAAAGGCCGACCAAGGCGACGAUCCGUAGCUGGUCUGAGAGGAUGAUCAGCCACACUGGAACUGAGACACGGUCCAGACUCCUACGGGAGGCAGCAGUGGGGAAUAUUGGACAAUGGGCGCAAGCCUGAUCCAGCCAUACCGCGUGGGUGAAGAAGGCCUUCGGGUUGUAAAGCCCUUUUGUUGGGAAAGAAAAGCAGCAGGUUAAUACCCCGCUGUUCUGACGGUACCCGAAGAAUAAGCACCGGCUAACUUCGUG